CCUAUGAGUGCCCAGCAUAUUCACCACAUGCUUUUAACGUAGGCGCACUUCGAGCGACGCCUACAAUGAUGCUUGUCUGCUUUAUUAGAUUAUCGCUUUGAAAUUUUUAUCAAGGACCAUACCUUGUAUGGAAGAUGGAAUUACUGUACUAUCCGUGUGAGAGGUUGAUAUAUGGGUGAUUAGUUAUUAAUUAGCUUGCAUACCUGAGAGGAACUUGUUUAUUUUGUGUCUGUCUACUUUUUGGGUCUGUUUUUUGGAAGCAGAAAGGCAGUUGCAAAUGGGUGUUAAGAUGAAGUAAGAUGGAUUAUGCCUGCAAUAAGUAGUGUUUUUAUCCUUUGAUCUUAAUUCACCAGGAAGCUCUAAAUUAAGCAAACUUAAAAGUUUCUUUAUGUAGUGCCUCUUCAUGUACUGAUCCUUGUACUAUAACAAUUAAUUGCCUCUUCUUGUUUAUUCAGCUAUGCAGAUUUUAAGAGCCCACUGAAGACUCUUAUUUAUGAGAGCUUCACUGUUGAUGAAUUUGAGAAUAGAUGGACAUCAUUAAUCAAGCAAUACAAACUUGAGGAUAAUGAUUGGUUAACUGACUUGUUUGAGGACAGACAUAUGUGGGUUCCUGCCUUCAUGAAAGAGUACUUUUGGGCUGGCAUGAAGACUACGCAGAGGGUCGAAAGCAUUAAUAGGAAUUUUGAUGGGUUCGUGAAUAGGAAGACAAAGUUGUAUGAAUUCCCAGAGAAGUACACUAGGUCAAUGCAGAGGCGUGUUCGAGCUGAAAAUGAUGUUGAUGCUAGGUGUGCAAAAUACGUUCGCAGUUUGAUCAGUGGGUUUCAGGUAGAGAGGUUCUUCCAAAAAAUUUACACAGAUAAAAAGUUCCAGGAGGUUUAGACAGAGUGUACUCGACUAAUGCAUUGCUAUGGGAGGGAAGAGUGUGCGCUUGAUGGUGGUAUUAUCCAGUACUGACUUGAAGACAGGGUCUGGAUUAUUCCAGAAGGCACGAGCGAGGAAGUCAUCACUGAUAAGAGGCGUGUCUACUGUGUCCUUUUUAACACCAAUACAAAGGAUGUCUCUUGUGAUUGCCGAAAGUUUGAGACCUUUGGUAUCAUUUGUAGGCAUAUAAUCCGGGUGUUUGAUCAAAAUUUUGUUUUUGACAUUCCGAGCAAAUACAUUUUAGACAGGUGGCGCAAAGAUGUGGUCAGGAAGCAUACUCGUGUCAAGGUUACCUACCACGAUCCUUCGAAAGAUGUUUAUGUUCAAAGCUAUAACAAACUGAUGCACAAGUUUGAGCCCAUAUGUGAGGAAGCGUUAUCUGUCGAUGAUAAGGAGACUGUAGACUUGAUUGUCAAUUCUCUUUAGACGCUACCUUUGGAAGUGAAGAAAAGCUAGGCUAAGUACAUUGAAAACAAACCAUCUAUUCCCACAUUGCCCAGAACCCUCCGAUUUGAAAUUGGAUCUAACACCAUGCAUCAAGGUAAUACCCCCAACUCAGUCAUCAUGCCCACUGAAGAAGUGAAUGCAACCGUAGUGAAAGAUCCAAUAUGUAAGAAACCUUCAGGAAGGCCAAAGAGCUAAAAAAAUCAACAAUCUAUUCCCACAUUGCCCAAAACCUCCCCAGCUGAAAUUGGAAUUGAUACCAUGCAUCCAGGUAAUACCCCUAAAUCAGAGACUAUGCCUAAAGUAGUGAAUGCUACUGCCGAAGUUGUGAAAGAUCCAAUACCUCCAAAGAGACCUCAAGGACAGCCUAAGGGGUCAAGGCUUAAAUCCCUUGCUGAGUUAUGAUACAAGAAGCCACUAGUAAAGCCACAAGCUAAGAGGAAAAAAACAAAUGCUCCGCAGCAGCAACAACAAAACACGAUUGAGAACUACUAUGAGUAUGUUGAAGAUGCAGGUUUAGUGGAUGACAAUCACAGAGAUGGUGUCGACUGGUCUGAAACAUUUUGAUUCCUAGGUGGUGACAUUUUGAUGCUUAUGUGGUCUUAAAUAGUAUUGAAUAGGUACUGAAACAUUUUGAUGCUAAGGUGGUGACACUCUUCACUCUAAAAUUCUUAUGAGUAUUUUGGUUAGGUACUGAAACAUUUUGAUGUUUGUGAUGUAUUACUUUGUAUGAUAUUUUGACUUUCAUUGUGAAAUUGUGUGACUUUUACCAUGUCUUAGUGUAGUCUUCUAGUUUGUUUACAUUUUAGGUUAGAAAUUUACAAUUGUAUUUGACUCCAAAUUGGGCCACCAACUUGAAUUUAUAUUGGGCUUAUAUUGGAAAAUACUCAUUAUAAGUAUUUA